AACGGAUUAUUCUUUAUAGCUUGCUAUAGAGAAUAGUUAGUGGCAGACGGGUGAGUAAUGCAUAGGAAUCUACCUAGUAGUAUGGGAUAGCCACUAGAAAUGGUGGGUAAUACUGUAUAAUCCCUGCGGGGGAAAGAUUUAUCGCUAUUAGAUGAGCCUAUGUUAGAUUAGCUAGUUGGUAGGGUAAAGGCCUACCAAGGCGAUGAUCUAUAGCUGGUCUGAGAGGAUGAUCAGCCACACUGGAACUGAGAUACGGUCCAGACUCCUACGGGAGGCAGCAGUGGGGAAUAUUGGACAAUGGGCGCAAGCCUGAUCCAGCUAUGCCGCGUGAGUGAGGAAGGCCUUAGGGUUGUAAAACUCUUUCAGUAGGGAAGAUAAUGACGGUACCUACAGAAGAAGUCCCGGCAAACUCCGUGCCAGCAGCCGCGGUAAUACGGAGGGGGCAAGCGUUGUUCGGAAUUAUUGGGCGUAAAGGGCAUGUAGGCGGUUCGGUAAGUUAAAGGUGAAAUGCCAGGGCUUAACCCUGGAGCUGCUUUUAAACUGCC
rnacentral:rRNA from 1 species